UAUUUCGUCUACUUCCGCCGGUUUCGUCUUCCUUCUCCAGCCGUAUAGCCUAUAGUGGGAGGGAGGUAGACAGAGGAAGCGAAUGAAAGGGAUUCUUUACUGAACGAACGGGAUAUCAAACCGAUUCUGGAAGAGUAUUGGCUCGCGUCUGAGGAUCUUAUUCAGAAAUCGAAGGAGGGACUGUGGUGCUCUGAUUUGUGGUGUUGGCGAGAGUGAGGAUCGCAGAUGGUGGCUUGCUUGAUUUUGAUGCUGUUGUGUCGAGAUCGAGUUUCGGUGUUUCGUACGAUCAGCACUUGCCGUCGUCAUGGUUGAAGAGUAGUUGGGGGGUUUCUGCCAUCGUCUUCCAGAAGCUUUAAAAUAUCGUAAAGGCUUUACUGAGCGAUCGAAGAUUACCUGUAAGAGGCUUCAUCGUCUAUGUCUCUCUUGAACCAGCUAUCAAUAGAGGCGUUUUCGGCACAAAAUUGUCAGUCUUGCCUUUGGCCUCUCUAUACUCAAAACACUGAAUCAAUUUUUGUCAUCUGAACCAACCAACUCGGUAAUUUUCUCACUUUUUUGAUACAUGUACAAACUGGUUAUUUAGAUAGAGAUAUGAUAUCAAAAUGAUUGAAUUGAAUACAUUAUUCUUGCAUUAUGUAUACCUGUAAUUGUAAUUAUGUAUACCUAUAAUUUGGCUUUAUGUAUUUAUUUUUUUGAAACAAAAUUUGGCUUUGUUUUUGUAGUUUAUGUUUUGGAUAUCAUUUAAUAUAAAUCGGUAGGUUGUGCAUAUUGAAGUAGCUCCGAGAACCAAACUUUUUUGACACUCAAAGAGGGAGAGGUUGGACCGGAAACAAAUAGAAGAGGUUUGGCUUUUAGUCUCAUUCAUCUUUGCAGAAAACAGAAGAAGGCUUGCUAUUGUUCAGUUUAUUCUUCUGAGGUAUAGUUGGUAAAUUUGGAAUUUUUGUUUCAAAUAGGUGUUCUUUUUUAUUUACAUAUGUGCGAUUUAGUAUGAUUUAAGUAUUGUGAUUAAGUGUUUGACUUUGCACAGAUAUACCUUAUUAAUUGUUAUUUACAUGUGUGAACUGAUUUCAUGUUCUAAACAGUGUGCUAGAUACGUAUUCCUAUUUGAGAUUUCGAUUUGUAUAUAUUUGGUGUUGUAUAAUGAAAGUGAUGUUUGGGAAUUAGUUUGGAUUUGAUAAUGGAAUUGUUUAGAUGCUGUUUAUUGAAUGUUUGAGUUCAAUAAUGGAGUGAGAAUGAAACAAGAAUCAUAGCAAAGAAAGUUUGACCAAAUUAGCAUUGAGCCUUUAAAUGCUUUCAUUCUUUGUGUAAAUAAUUGUUUCUUUUCUUUUCUGAAGCUUAUAUUCAAUAAUGGUUUUAGGUUUUGUGUAUUUGUUUUAUUUUGUUUAGAUGUUGUUUUUAGGGUUCUAUAUAUAUACCGAGCAGAAGAUUGUCUCAGGGCUUUAGUUUGUGCUUUUUCAUUCAUAUUGAUAUAAAGAUUUGUAAUUUUGUGCAGAAAGUUAUAAACUUAUGUUUAGUUUUAAAUUUUGAAAUCAGUUUGUAUGAUAUUUUUCCAGUUUGAAAAUCAUUAUGUCAUUGAAUAUUAAGUGAUACUAAGUUGUAAUCAUAAUCUAAUUGCUUUUGUGGUAAGAACCCUA